rnacentral:rRNA from 1 species
AACAGGGAUUGCCCUAGUAACGGCGAGUGAAGCGGCAAGAGCUCAAAUUUGAAAUCUGGCUCCUUUGGGGCCCGAGUUGUAAUUUGUAGAGGGUGCUUUGGCGUUGGCCCUGGCCUAAGUUCCUUGGAACAGGACGUCACAGAGGGUGAGAACCCCGUAUGUGGCCGUCGGCCUUCGCCGUGUAAAGCCCCUUCGACGAGUCGAGUUGUUUGGGAAUGCAGCUCUAAAUGGGAGGUAAAUUUCUUCUAAAGCUAAAUAUUGGCCAGAGACCGAUAGCGCACAAGUAGAGUGAUCGAAAGAUGAAAAGCACUUUGGAAAGAGAGUCAAAAAGCACGUGAAAUUGUUGAAAGGGAAGCGCUUGCAGCCAGACUUGCCUGUAGUUGCUCAUCCAAGCUCCUGCUUGGUGCACUCUUCUGUAGGCAGGCCAGCAUCAGUCCGGGCGGUCGGAUAAAGGCUUCGGGAAUGUAGCUCUCUUCGGGGAGUGUUAUAGCCCGUUGCGUCAUGCGACCAGCCUGGACUGAGGUCCGCGCAUCUGCUAGGAUGCUGGCGUAAUGGCUGUAAGCGGCCCGUCUUGAAACACGGACCAAGGAGUCUAACAUCUAUGCGAGUGUUUGGGUGUCAAGCCCGGGCGCGCAAUGAAAGUGAACGGAGGUGGGAACCCCUUGGGGCGCACCAUCGACCGAUCCUGAUGUCUUCGGAUGGAUUUGAGUAAGAGCAUAGCUGUUGGGACCCGAAAGAUGGUGAACUAUGCCUGAAUAGGGUGAAGCCAGAGGAAACUCUGGUGGAGGCUCGCAGCGGUUCUGACGUGCAAAUCGAUCGUCAAAUUUGGGCAUAGGGGCGAAAGACUAAUCGAACUUCAAGUGC